rnacentral:rRNA from 1 species
UACGGAGGGGGCGAGCGUUAUUCGGAAUUAUUGGGCGUAAAGGGCGCGUAGGCGGCUGAACAAGUCAAAGGUGAAAUCCCUCGGCUCAACUGAGGAACUGCCUUUGAAACUGUUCGGCUUGAGGCCGGGAGGGGGUAGCGGAAUUCCCAGUGUAGCGGUGAAAUGCGUAGAUAUUGGGAGGAACACCAGUGGCGAAGGCGGCUACCUGGACCGGUUCUGAUGCUGAGGCGCGAAAGCGUGGGUAGCAAACAGG